rnacentral:rRNA from 1 species
UACAGAGGGUGCAAGCGUUAAUCGGAAUUACUGGGCGUAAAGCGCACGUAGGUGGCUUGAUAAGUUGGGUGUGAAAUCCCCGGGCUUAACCUGGGAAUUGCAUUCAAGACUGUCUUGCUAGAGUGUGGAAGAGGGAAGCGGAAUUCCAGGUGUAGCGGUGAAAUGCGUAGAUAUCUGGAGGAACAUCAGUGGCGAAGGCGGCUUCCUGGUCCAACACUGACGCUGAGGCACGAAAGCGUGGGGAUCAAACAGG